ACGCUCGACACCUACGGGAGCAGCAGUUGGGAAUAUUGGACAAUGGAGGAAACUCUGAUCCAGUGACGCCGCGUGAAGGAAGAAGGUCUUCGGAUUGUAAACUUAUUUUGUCAGGGAAGAAAAAAUGACUGUACCUGAAGAAAAAGCACCGGCUAACUACGUGCCAACAGCCGCGGUAAUCUGAGCGGGCUGGCAAGGC
rnacentral:rRNA from 1 species